rnacentral:lncRNA from 1 species
CAGGAUUUCUCUGUGGGUUUAAUUGCUCUGUGUCUGCAUUCCAAUCCCUCCCCAUGGGAACCACAGUCCCCUUGGUCACUGACUACCACAGACCUCUCUGUGUCUCCCUAGGUCAUGUGGGGACACAGCAAGGGAACUUGCCCAGGUCACACAGCUAGUUAGGUGGCAGAGGUGGGGCUCAGCUCUAGAGCUCCUAACCUGUACUCAGUGCUCUCUCCAUAAUACCACAGGCUGACAUCCACAUCGCACACCUACCACGUGUGAUCAGAGUGAUGGGCAAAAUAGGGAACAUUGGUGGAAAUGCUGUGGAGAGCAUGUUGAAGUUCAGACAGCAGCAGAACUGAGUGAUUGACAAGACUCUUGAGAAGACGAGGAACUUGAAUGGGUUGGUUAACUCUGUUACAGGAACAGUUUCUGGACGCCUCAUUCACCAGCGGUGUGGUCUUCGACACUCUCUGCACUCUUUGGACUAUGUCUGCUUCAUCAGUGCCUUCAUCCCAACCAGCCCAAUGCCCGACACACGGCCCUUCUUGAACAUAGCAUCUGGGCAGCAUUUGAACUCGUCAGUGCUGAGGCCAAAGGUAGCUGAGCUCUUAUGGAGGCUGGAGGUGGACUUGCAGGAAGCUGUGGUGAUGACUGACAGGGCAAACGCAUGCACUUAAGACCCAGACUUUGUCCAGGACCCUGCAGAAGUCACGGAGGAGAUGUGGGUAUCAAAAAAUCCUCAAUCCUUUUUGCUUAGCAAGGGAUGGAAAGACCAUUGUAGAGAAUUUCUCCAAUCGAAGGACACCUAUGAAUAAGCAGACGGGACAGACACGGUUGUGAAGCUGUCAUGCUGUGGGUUAGCCCAAGCAGAGAUCUCCACGUGAAUAAGAGUCGAGGCCACCGGCCAACAGCCUUGGCUGAGUUCCCAGGCAACAAUGAGCACCACUUGCCAGCCAUGUGAGUGAGCCUUUCUGGACAUGGAGCUGCCUCAGUCUACACAACAUGGAGCAGAGAUGAGCCAUUUCUGCUAAGCCCUGCCCAAAUUACAAAACCAGACUAAAUAAAUUGUUGUUUUAAACUGU